rnacentral:misc_RNA from 1 species
UCAACCCUCAAGCCCCCGGCUUGGUGUUGGAGCCUGGCCCCGCGUCCGCGGCGGCCGCUCCCAAAGACAAUGACGGCGUCCACGAGCGACCCCCGGCACACUGAGCUUUUAACCAAGCACGUGUUGGAUUGGGCCUUGCGGGCACGGUCUGCCUCCCCUUAGGGAGAAACUUUUUACCAA